rnacentral:lncRNA from 1 species
GUCUGUAACAGCUGACUAUGCGGUAUGACAUUUGAUCAUUGUUGAAGGCUGUCCUGUGACCUAUAGCUGUUAAUUACUGUGUCAGUUAGUCUCUUAUGAAGAAUUGUCCUAUUGGCUUUAAUACCACAUCUUCUCUUUUUUUUUUUUUUAUAUAUAAUGAAAUUUAAUGAAAAUUGUGGAAAAAAAUCUUUUAAAAAUUAAAUUUAGCAGAUUAUCUUAAUAAGCUUUUUAAUUGUCUUAAUUUCAUGUGAACAUUUUUCCUGUGUGGCGUUUAAUCCUGUGACUUUUUUCCAUGACCCUUUUCUAUAUUUUAACAAACGUAAAUGAUAAACCAACUAACAACUGACCACUUUGUGUUAAGUUAAACUUAUAAUUAUCAAUAGAACAUGCCAAUAUAAAGGGGGGUUAAUUUUUGGGAGGGGUAGGGCAGUUCACAACAGCGUAGUGCAAAAAGUCAAUUUGCAUAUUGAUGUUUUGUAACUUGUC